rnacentral:rRNA from 1 species
GCAUCGAUGAAGAACGCAGCGAAAUGCGAUAACUAAUGUGAAUUGCAGAAUUCAGUGAAUCAUCGAGUCUUUGAACGCACAUUGCGCCCUCUGGUAUUCCGGAGGGCAUGCCUGUCCGAGCGUCAUUGCUGCCCUCAAGCCCGGCUUGUGUGUUGGGCCCCGUCCCCCCCGCCGGGGGGACGGGCCCGAAAGGCAGCGGCGGCACCGCGUCCGGUCCUCGAGCGUAUGGGGCUUCGUCACCCGCUCUAGUAGGCCCGGCCGGCGCCAGCCGACCCCCAACCUUUAAUUAUCUCAGGUUGACCUCGGAUCAGGUAGGGAUACCCGCUGAACUUAAGCAUAUCAAUAAGCGGAGGAA